GGCAUAUCGAGAUCCGAAUUUGAAACCAGAAGAUCUUUUGACCGGUGUAACAUUUGCUUCUGGUGGUGCUGGUUACGUUCCUUUGACAACCAAAUUAGCGGGAGGUAUACCGUUACCGCAACAAUUGAAAUAUUUUGAACAGUAUAUAGCGAAACUGAAGGCAAUGGUUGGAGAAGAGAGGACACAGUUCAUAAUUAAGAAUAGCUUGUUCGUUGUUAUAUGUGGUAGUAACGAUAUCGCCAACGACUUCUUUGCUCUCCCUCCGGUUCAGCUCCAUUACACCGUCGCUUCUUUCACCGCUCUUAUGGCCGACAACGCUCGCUCGUUUGCUCAGACACUCUAUGGAUAUGGAGCUAGAAGAAUACUUGUAUUUGGUG